GCGUAGCUCGAUGGUAAGGGUGCUUGUUUUGCAUGCAGAAGGUCCCAGGUUCAGUCCUUGGUAUCUGCA
rnacentral:tRNA from 1 species